rnacentral:rRNA from 1 species
GACGCGAAAGCAUGGGGAGCGAACGGGAUUAGAAACCCCGGUAGUCCAUGCUGUAAACGAUGCGGACUAGGUGUGGCGGUGAGGAGCCGCUGUGCCGUAGCGAACGUGAUAAGUCCGCCACCUGGGGAGUACGGCCGCAAGGUUAAAACUCAAAGGAAUUGACGGGGGCCCGCACAAGCAGCGGAGCGUGUGGUUUAAUUCGAGGCUACACGAAGAACCUUACCUGGGCUUGACAUGGCGGUGGUAGCGACCUGAAAGGGGAGCGACCUUCGGGAGCCGUCACAGGUGCUGCAUGGCUGUCGUCAGCUCGUGUUGUGAGAUGUUCGGUUAAGUCCGGUAACGAGCGCAACCCUCGCCGUCAGUUACAAGUGUCUGGCGGGACUGCCCGUUGAACGCGGGAGGAAGGUGGGGAUGACGUCAAGUCAGCAUGGCCUUAAUGUCCAGGGCUACACACACGCUACAAUGGCCGGCACAGCAGGUUGCCAACCCGCGAGGGGGAGCCAAUCCCGUAAAGCCGGUCUCAGCUCGGAUCGCAGGCUGCAACCCGCCUGCAUGAAGUGGGAGUGUAGUAAACGCGCUCAGCCAAGGCG